AUGGCGUCUCGAGGUCCAGAAUUAUUAUUAUUUUGGCGUCUUGAUGUCCCUGUUGACGAGAGACAAGGUGAGAGGGAGAAGAAGGGAAGGAAGGGAGAAGAAGGGAAAGAAGGGAGAGAAGGGGACGAAGGAGAAGGCAGGCAGGGUAAGGUGGAGCUCCAGCGGCGGCGAGAGGUGGAGGCGCUCGGGGCCAGUGCUCCGGAGGUAGCGGCUGCGGGGUUGGGCAUCUAA
rnacentral:rRNA from 1 species